rnacentral:rRNA from 1 species
AGUGAACGCUGGCGGUAGGCCUAACACAUGCAAGUCGAACGGCAGCACAGUAAGAGCUUGCUCUUACGGGUGGCGAGUGGCGGACGGGUGAGGAAUACAUCGGAAUCUACUUUUUCGUGGGGGAUAACGUAGGGAAACUUACGCUAAUACCGCAUACGACCUACGGGUGAAAGCAGGGGAUCUUCGGACCUUGCGCGAUUGAAUGAGCCGAUGUCGGAUUAGCUAGUUGGCGGGGUAAAGGCCCACCAAGGCGACGAUCCGUAGCUGGUCUGAGAGGAUGGACAGCAACCAGGGAACGGAGACCCGGGCCAGGCCCCUACGGGAGGCAGGAGUGGGGAAUUUGGGAAAAGGGGGGAAAGCCUGAUCCAGCCACUCCGGGUGGGUGAAGAAGGCCUUCGGGUUGUAAAGCCUUUUUGUGGGGAAAAAAAAGCAGCAGGUUAAAACCCCCGUGUUUGAAGGGUACCCAAAAAAAAAGCACCGGCUAAUUUCGG